GGCUCUUUAUUUUUUUCGUCAUGGAUUUCGGAGAUGGGACAAAAGAAUGAAUAUGCUUUUGUACCAUACCAUGCGAAAUGUCCUCUUUUUGGCCAUGACUGAAUUCAAAGAGUGAAGUUGCUAUAUCUGAAUGGUGUCCAAAAACUUUUUACACUUUUGUAGAGAGAUCAUCCACAUCAGUCAAGACACAUUCAGUAAAGGACCGUCUCCGGCAUUCAAAGAACUGAAGAGAAGCACUACAACACCGUCUUUUUUAUUAAUUUUGGUUAGAUAUGACUCAUAUUUUACUAAUAAGUGAAUAUGAUGCUCGAGUUGAGUUUCUAUGAUAAAUUGUACCCUGUAAAACAAAAGUUU